rnacentral:rRNA from 1 species
CGCGGCCUAUCAGCUUGUUGGUGAGGUAAUGGCUCACCAAGGCGACGACGGGUAGCCGGCCUGAGAGGGUGACCGGCCACACUGGGACUGAGACACGGCCCAGACUCCUACGGGAGGCAGCAGUGGGGAAUAUUGCACAAUGGGCGAAAGCCUGAUGCAGCGACGCCGCGUGAGGGAUGACGGCCUUCGGGUUGUAAACCUCUUUCAGUAGGGAAGAAGCGAAAGUGACGGUACCUGCAGAAGAAGCACCGGCUAACUACGUGCCAGCAGCCGCGGUAAUACGUAGGGUGCGAGCGUUAUCCGGAAUUAUUGGGCGUAAAGAGCUCGUAGGCGGUUUGUCGCGUCUGUCGUGAAAGUCCGGGGCUUAACCCCGGAUCCGCGGUGGGUACGGGCAGACUAGAGUGCAGUAGGGGAGACUGGAAUUCCUGGUGUAGCGGUGGAAUGCGCAGAUAUCAGGAGGAACACCGAUGGCGAAGGCAGGUCUCUGGGCUGUAACUGACGCUGAGGAGCGAAAGCAUGGGGAGCGAACAGGAUUAGAUACCCUGGUAGUCCAUGCCGUAAACGUUGGGCACUAGGUGUGGGGAACAUUCCACGUUUUCCGCGCCGCAGCUAACGCAUUAAGUGCCCCGCCUGGGGAGUACGG